rnacentral:rRNA from 1 species
GAUGAACGCUGGCGGCGUGCCUAAUACAUGCAAGUCGAGCGAACGGACGAGAAGCUUGCUUCUCUGAUGUUAGCGGCGGACGGGUGAGUAACACGUGGAUAACCUACCUAUAAGACUGGGAUAACUUCGGGAAACCGGAGCUAAUACCGGAUGAUAUUUUGAACCGCAUGGUUCAAAAGUGUAAGACGGUCUUGCUGUCACUUAUAGAUGGAUCCGCGCUGCAUUAGCUAGUUGGUAAGGUAACGGCUUACCAAGGCAACGAUGCAUAGCCGACCUGAGAGGGUGAUCGGCCACACUGGAACUGAGACACGGUCCAGACUCCUACGGGAGGCAGCAGUAGGGAAUCUUCCGCAAUGGGCGAAAGCCUGACGAAGCAACGCCGCGUGAGUGAUGAAGGUCUUCGGAUCGUAAAACUCUGUUAUUAGGGAAGAACAUAUGUGUAAGUAACUGUGCACAUCUUGACGGUACCUAAUCAGAAAGCCACGGCUAACUACGUG